rnacentral:rRNA from 1 species
CCGCACGGUGAGUAACGCGUAUGCAACUUGCCUAUCAGGAGGGGAUAACCCGGCGAAAGUCGGACUAAUACCGCAUGAAGCAGGGGCCCCGCAUGGGGAUAUUUGCUAAAGAUUCAUCGCUGAUAGAUAGGCAUGCGUUCCAUUAGGCAGUUGGCGGGGUAACGGCCCACCAAACCGACGAUGGAUAGGGGUUCUGAGAGGAAGGUCCCCCGCAUUGGUACUGAGACACGGACCAA